rnacentral:rRNA from 1 species
AACGAACGCUGGCGGCAUGCCUAACACAUGCAAGUCGAACGAGACCUUCGGGUCUAGUGGCGCACGGAUGCGUAACGCGUGGGAAUCUGCCCUUCGGUUGGGAAUAACUGAGAGAAAUUUCAGCUAAUACCUUAUAAUGUCUUCGGACCAAAGAUUUAUCGCCGAGGGAUGAGCCCGCGUAGGAUUAGGUAGUUGGUGGGGUAAUGGCCUACCAAGCCGACGAUCCUUAGCUGGUCUGAGAGGAUGAUCAGCCACACUGGGACUGAGACACGGCCCAGACUCCUACGGGAGGCAGCAGUGGGGAAUAUUGGACAAUGGGCGAAAGCCUGAUCCAGCAAUGCCGCGUGAGUGAUGAAGGCCUUAGGGUUGUAAAGCUCUUUUACCCGGGAUGAUAAUGACAGUACCGGGAGAAUAAGCUCCGGCUAACUCCGUG